rnacentral:rRNA from 1 species
CGAAAGGAACGCUAAUACCGCAUACGUCCUACGGGAGAAGGCAGGGGACCGUUCGGGCCUUGCGCUAUCAGAUGNAGCCUAGGUCGGAUUAGCUAGUUGGUGAGGUAAUGGCUCACCAAGGCGACGAUCCGUAACUGGUCUGAGAGGAUGAUCAGUCACACUGGAACUGAGACACGGUCCAGACUCCUACGGGAGGCAGCAGGG